GGAAGUUGUCCCUUGUUGAUUUACUUGGUGUAACGAAUCUUUUCCCACUGUAUCCAAAAUUCAAAUUUAAUCUACACUCUUUAAAAAGUGAGAAGAUCAGCAGAACUGUUCCUUAUGAACAGUAGGGCAGUGUGCGAACGGUUUUGUCCUUGUCUUGGGAUGUUAUUUGCGGUCUUGCCAUUGGAUCUUGAAUUCCUUUGCUUUCUACCUCAGCGGUCAGUCCUACUUUUCCUGAAUUCACUUGCCAUCACUCAUUCAUUUCCGUUUUCUCUCUCAUCCUACUCUCUUUCUCUUUCCUCCUCUGCUAUUGUCCAGCCAUUUUUCCACUUUUGCUUUUAAGAUUUUUCGCUCUUCCAUUGAAGGUCAAUCUGAGUUUUCCAUUGAAGCGUGUUCUGAGCUUCCUUUCUUCCAUUAUUGCUGAGUUCAGCGUAGUGUUUCUGGUGAAGGUGUUGGUGAGUUCGAUGUAUCUGCAUUCAAGGAAUCUUAUUAAAAAAUCAAGCAGAACGUAGAAUGAAACUGCAAUUUUGCCGCCAGACAAUUACAAAUGGCAUGAGAUAAAGAAUCUCAGACUCUUCCAGGUUUUGAUUCCUAUUCUGAAACCAACUAGAUACACUGGUGCUGAUCCUUAUAAAAUGUAAGGUACACAGAAUUCAAACCCAAAUUGAAGGAGGUCAUAUGUGAGAGUUUUAUGACUGAUGAGUUUGAAACGCGUUGGUGUGCGCUAAUGUCUCAGUACAAGCUUGAGAAAAAUGAAUGGCUUACUAGGCUGUUUAAAGAGAGACAUAUGUGGGUGCCGGCCUAUAUGAAGGAGUAUUUUUGGUCCAGUAUGAAGACUACGCAAAGGGUUGAGAGCAUUAAUAGCUUUUUUUGACGGGUUUCUUACUCGACAUACAAAGCUGUUUGAAUUCCCUCACAAGUAUCGUAGGGCCAUGGAUAAGCGGAUACGUGAUGAAACCAAUGCAGAUGCUUACUGUUCAAAGUACUUGAGGAGGUUAGUGAGUGGUUUCAAGACGGAGAAGGUCUUUCAAAAGCUACGGACACAAAAUUUCAAGAAGUCCAGACAGAAUGUUCUUCGAGGAUGAUGUAUGUGUAUGAUAGAGGUGAGCGAGUAAUUUCUGACAAUAUAAUUGAGUACACUCUUGAGGACCGAGUGUGGCUUGUUCCACCUGGUAAGAGUGAGGAGGUAAUUACUGAUCGGCAUAGGUAUUAUUGUGUUACCUUCAACACCGAAACAACGGAAGUAUGUUGUAAUUGCAGGAAAAUUGAAACACAUGGUAUUAUGUGUAAACACACCAUCAGUAUAUUAGAUCGGAAUUUUGUGCUUGAUGUGCCUGAGAGAUAUAUUGUAAGCCGGUGGCAAAAGGACAUAAUGCGCAAACAUACAAGGGUGAAGGUAACUGCUGAUGAUCCAUCCGAAGUUGUUCAUGUGAAACGGUUCAAUAUGCUAUUGAAAGUUGCUGAGCCAUUGUGUGAAGAGGCGGCCAUGGUGAAUGAUGAGACGGUACAAAUGGUCAUAGACUCAAUUAAUCAGUUGCGGUUGGAUGUUGAUAAGUGUAGGAAGACGAAGCUUGAGCAAACCAUAGCUCUAAAUUUCCCGAAUGAUUUUCAGGGAUCUGCGAGUGCAGGGUUCAGUGGUACAACCUUGGCUGUUCAGAAACCAACUCAUGUAGAAAAUGUAAAGGAAAUUGGUGCUACUGUUAAGGACCCGGUUCCACCGAAGAAGCCUCGAGGAACCAAAUGAUGCUGAAAACGAAGGAAUGAUGGUGCAGACUCACCUGUAGCCCCUGAUGUGGCUGCUCCCGAUAUACUUCCAGUUAAACGGAAGCAGGCACAAUUGGUGGAUUGCGACACUAUUGGUCUGGGUGACAAAGUGACUUUUGAUAAUGAGUUACUAAUGAGGAAAAGCAUGGAAUGGUGCACGGGUCCAUCUGAAUUCUGAAAUGCUUUAGAUGUGCUCUAGAAAUGACUUAGGUGUUCUUGACCAGGUUAGGUGUACGUUUUAGGACAUGCGUUUUUGGUGGAUGUAGCUUAACCAAGUAUUAGGCUAUGUUUAAGCUUAUAUUCGGAUCUCUACAUAGUAACUCAAUAUUUGUGGUUAAUUUGCCCUUAGUUAUUUUAACUAAAAGCUUGUAAUUUUUAUGGAUCACCAUUAGUACUGGAUUACAGAUUUAAGUUUAAGCUUUAAGUUAAUUUAUAUUACUAAAUUAUUUCAGUCA